AGGUAUCAAAAUUACUCAACUUAAUGAUGUUAGCAGUAAUGGUGCACGUGCAAUUUGCCAACCACAAAAGCCGCUGAGUACUGAACAGUUGUAUAACAGGUCACCAGCAGUAGAGACGAGAAAACGUUCUUCAGAUGAAAAAUUAAAGAAUGGUAGGACAGAUGUUAAAGCUGAAGGAGGAAAGUCAAGAAAAAAGAAGAAACGGUUAGCAUCAGACGCAACAAUAAAGAAAGGCUCUUAAAUCUAUUUAUAAUUUUUUUUGUAUAGAUAUAUUAGACAAAUUGUUAAGGAUGUCAGCAAGGACUAUUUUAGAUGCUGACAUAAUGACACAAUUGUGACGGAUAUUGGUUAAACUGUUUAUUGUUCUAAUCGAUUCAUCGGUCAGGGAUAUCAUAUGACAUUAACCCGUUAACAUAGGGAACCAGCUAUAAUAUUUCUAAUAUGUCAAAUCACUACUGUUGUUUAAACUAAUGUCUGUUACAUAUAUAAUUUUAUACUAUACAAUACAAUCUAUGGAUGACCACGCCACACAAUUAUCAUUUCCUUUCACUAGUUUGUAAUUAUUUCUUUUUAGAAAACAUUAAUAUCAGAAAGGAAAUCUGUAUUAAAAUUGUAUAAGAACUAAACGUCACGUUUCUGAAAAUGAAGCAUCAUUUUAUUUGAGUGUAUAGUAUUCGUUUAUUGUAUGCUGUAGUCAUGCAUUUGACUUGAGUAUGAAGUACACCAGGCAGAGGGCAGCUUUUGAUGAAAAGAAUAUUCCUUUUGUAAUAUAUUUGUUUUUAAUUGAUUUAUCUAAAAUCGAAAUUUCUCUAAUAAAUACUUGAAAAGUUAUUAAUACUA